rnacentral:rRNA from 1 species
GAUGAACGCUGGCGGCGUGCCUAAUACAUGCAAGUCGAGCGGCAACAUGCGCUUCACUUUGCGCGGAACGCAAAGGAAUCUAGAGGUUAGAUGUUAGAUUUUAGAAUAGCUACAGGGAGCAGAAUUCUAGAAUCUAAAAUCUAUAUUCUAGAUUCUAAUACGUAACACGCAGUGUGAAGUGUGAUGGCGAGCGGCGGACGGGUGAGUAACGCGUAGGAAUCUACCCCAAAGUGAGGGAUAACUGCUCGAAAGAGUAGCUAAUACCGCAUAUGAUCUAAGGAUUAAAGACUUCGGUCGCUAUGGGAAGAGCCUGCGUUUGAUUAGCUAGUUGGUAGGGUAAUGGCCUACCAAGGCGACGAUCAAUAGCUGGUUUGAGAGGAUGAUCAGCCAC